GAGAGUAUAGCUCAAGUGGUAGAGUGCAUGCUUAGCAUGCAUGAGGUCCUGGGUUCAAUCCUCAGUACCUUCU
rnacentral:tRNA from 1 species